AGGUGCGAUCAUACCAGCACUAAUGCACCGGAUCCCAUCAGAACUCUGCAGUUAAGGGUCCUCGGGAGAGAGUAGUACUAGAAUGGGUGAUCUCCUGGGAAGUCCUCGUGUUGCACUUC
rnacentral:rRNA from 1 species